GAUGAACGCUGGCGGCGUGCCUAAUACAUGCAAGUCGAGCGAACAGAUGAGGAGCUUGCUCCUCUGACGUUAGCGGCGGACGGGUGAGUAACACGUGGAUAACCUACCUAUACGACUGGGAUAACUUCGGGAAACCGGAGCUAAUACCGGAUAAUAUAUUGAACCGCAUGGUUCAAUAGUGAAAGACGGUUUUGCUGUCACUUAUAGCUGGAUCCGCGCCGCAUUAGCUAGUUGGUAAGGUAACGGCUUACCAAGGCAACGAUGCGUAGCCGACCUGAGAGGGUGAACGGCCACUCUGGGACUGAGACACGGUCCAGACUCCUACGGGAGGCAGCAGUAGGGAAUCGUCCGCGAUGGGCGAAAGCCUGACGGAGCGGCGCCGCGUGGGUGAUGAAGGUCUUCGGAUCGUAAAACUCUGUUAUUAGUGAAGAACAAAUGUGUAAGUAACUAUGCACGUCUUGACGGUACCUAAUCAGAAAGCCACGGCUAACUACGUG
rnacentral:rRNA from 1 species